rnacentral:rRNA from 1 species
AUUGAACGCUGGCGGCAUGCCUUACACAUGCAAGUCGAACGGCAGCGGGGGAGAAGCUUGCUUUUCCUGCCGGCGAGUGGCGAACGGGUGAGUAAUACAUCGGAACGUGCCCUGUAGUGGGGGAUAACUAGUCGAAAGAUUAGCUAAUACCGCAUACGACCUGAGGGUGAAAGUGGGGGACCGCAAGGCCUCAUGCUAUAGGAGCGGCCGAUGUCUGAUUAGCUAGUUGGUGGGGUAAAGGCCUACCAAGGCGACGAUCAGUAGCUGGUCUGAGAGGACGAUCAGCCACACUGGGACUGAGACACGGCCCAGACUCCUACGGGAGGCAGCAGUGGGGAAUUUUGGACAAUGGGCGAAAGCCUGAUCCAGCAAUGCCGCGUGUGUGAAGAAGGCCUUCGGGUUGUAAAGCACUUUUGUCCGGAAAGAAAUGGCUCUGGUUAAUACCUGGGGUCGAUGACGGUACCGGAAGAAUAAGGACCGGCUAACUACGUGCCAGCAGCAGCCGCCG